rnacentral:rRNA from 1 species
CAGCAGCCGCGGUAAUACCGGCGGCCCGAGUGGCGGCCACUAUUAUUGGGCUUAAAGCGUCCGUAGCCGGGUUGGUUAGUCUCCCGGGAAAUCUGGCCGCUUAACGGUCAGAAUUCCGGGAGAUACUGCCAGCCUAGGGACCGGGAGAGGCCGAGGGUAUUCCCGGAGUAGGGGUGAAAUCCUAUAAUCCCGGGAGGACCACCUGUGGCGAAGGCGCUCGGCUGGAACGGGUCCGACAGUGAGGGACGAAGGCCAGGGGAGCAAACCGGAUUAGAUACCCGGGUAGUCCUGGCUGUAAACGAUGCGGACUUUGUGUCGGACAAGCUAUGAGCUUGUCCGGUGCCGGAGGGAAACCGUUAAGUCCGCCGCCUGGGGAGUACGGCCGCAAGGCUGAAACUUAAAGGAAUUGGCGGG